GUCGUUGGGGUUGUCCUGUGCAUUGUAGGAGGUACAGCAGCAUCCUUGGUCUCCACCCACUAGAUGCCAGUAGCACUCCAAGCUGUGAAGAUGGAACAGUCUCAAGACAUUGCCAGGCUGUUUUAUUAUAGUUGUGUCAUUGGCAUUUAACUGCUGUGGCCUCAGUGAGAAAGUUUCAGCACUGUGAUCUUCUGACCUGACCUUGGCGAGUGCCACCAGAUACCAAGGAGACCAUUCUGCCUUUCUGAAGUCUCUACCUGCAAUCUUGGUUCCUACUUGAGGGAGAUACCUCUGUGGCCUGCUCCUUUGCCCGUGUGUGGAUAUGAUGAUGAAGAGUAAAACUGCUGGGCUAUUUCUACUGAAGUGCCCAAAUUAAUCACCCAGAAAGUGAUUAAACCUGGCCAUUCCUUUAGCCUUCAUCAUCUAUGAGAAUUUGAAAACUGUAGUCUUCUUUAAAUCUACUCCAUGUGUCAAAG
rnacentral:lncRNA from 1 species